UCAAAAAAAAAUCAAUUGAAGUUGUGUAGAGCUUCUAAAAACUAAUUGUAAUUUUUAAGGCUUAUUACCUAGUCAUACAACCGUUCUCCUAACCGCUAAGACUUUCGCCGAUUACCGCAAAGUUAGUCGCUGCCGCCGACCAAGCCACCGACCAAUUCUCCGGACUGUUGUAUCAGCGGAGGUUCACCGAUAAUGGGAACUCGAGAAGUGUACGAAGAAAAGCUUCGAACUGGCAGUGUUUAUCACCAUGAUCCAACGAUCAAUCCGGGUCUGGGUACACCUCGCUGCCCCCGUUGUCUCUCUCUUAUCGACCCAGAUUCUAAAAAUGGUGAAUGGACUAUUACUUCUGUGUUACAUGAUGCUACAGCUGUGGCUGGCACUGGAAUUGGAGCAAUGCUAAGUGCUACACAUGGUUUUAAUACUGGGAUACCUUUUUUUCAAAAACAUGUUAAAGGACCCAAGUGGCUUUCAUUUGUUUUUGGGCUUCCACCUUUACUCAUGUAUUCAGCUGUUUGUGCUACAUUUGGUGGCUAUGCUCUUCCUAAAUUCACUCAGCUUACUGUGACAUCGUAUUAUGCUGCUUCAAGUGCUUCACAUUAUGGAAUUUCUCUACUCACUAGACGCAUUGAAGAAGCAUAUGUGUCAGCUUCUCGGCAGGAUAAACCCUCUUGAUGAAGCCUAAAAGAUAUUGCUGAUGACAGAAAUGUUGCUUUGCAUGUAUCAGGAAACUUCUUUUUCCACAAAUCAUUGCUACUUGAAGUAAUCAAAGGUUUUGAGGUUCUUUCUCUAACAGUUUGGCUGUCUCCUUCACUUUAGUUGUCUACUUGCUGCUUCCAAUUGAGGUAUUUUUGUGUUCAUAGGAUAUAUAAUAUCAUCUUUUAGUGUGUGGUUUUGUGUAGUUUGAUGUGUCUCAAUUGCUUUGCCUUGAGAUCAUGUGGAUCAAUGUAAUUAUAUUCGUAGGUAUGACAGUGAACCGACAACUUCUUCAUAAGUCUUAUAUAUGUAUGUUAAAUAUUCUUUCUUAGAUAUCAUUAAUACUUGGAUAAAUGAUGAGGACAAAUUGCAACUAUUGUGACUACCAUUUAUUUCCAAACAAGUAGGCCUCCUGCUUGAAAGCACCCUAUGCUAAAUUCAAAAUAUAAUUUUGAUCCUUUUAUUUCGGAAUAUUUAUCUCACGGUUUUUUCCUUUUGAAUAUUCAAAUUUUCUAAUUCUUACUAUUUACUAUCUAUGUACUUGGAUUAUUGGUAUUUCUUAGAUUAUAGCUGCUUUUUUACUGUUAAACUCUAUCUGCUCAGAAAAUUUAUUUGAUGUCUGUGUGUAUAGGGGAAAAUUAUAUUGUGUAGGGGUUUCACUUAACUAUAGUAACCCAAAGUAGCUUUAGAGCUUGUUGGCUUGUCUUAAUGGCUUAAUCAAACUGAAAAAAUGGCUAUUGAUGAGAUGUAGAGGGUCUUAAUUGAUGAACUAAAUAGAAGAAAACAGUGGCUUGAGGAUUUAAGUGAUUAGAUUUUUUUUGGAUUGGAAUUAGGGUCUACAGAUUAGGAGGAAUUAUUCCUCCCUGGGGAGAAAGGGAAAACCUUCAACCAGUAAACCAACCUGUGAUUCUCAGUGACUAGACAAAAUUGAUAUCAAACAGUCCAUCAUAGUACUUCAUCGAUGCAAAUUUCUGGAAUUGUACGGUGUUUACUUGUGAUACCGUCCUUUUUUCACCUUCUCCAGCUCUUAGUGUUUUCUAAUAUACUUUGCAUUAUUGCCCCUCUUGCUCUUUCUUAUCUUUGUUUGUUUCCUUAUACCGUCUCUUUAAGUUUAUCUGUUAUGCUUUCUCCAUUUGUUACUCGGAAAACAUUGUAAGUUCAUAAGGAUUAGAUUUGGAACGAAAAUCUUAUUGGCAAUUUCUUUAAAUAGCAAAUAAGUUCCAGGGCACAUUGAACAAAUAAUGAAGGUCAGUCGGAAAUUGGAAUAGAUUGUGUAAUCUGACAUCUAUAGCUACUGGGUAGUACCAACUGUACUUGAUCUAGUUUAUAGAUGGUAUUUUUACUUAAGGUUCUGUUGAAAUACUCUUGUGCAGAAAAAUGAAAUAAUGGGGGAAAUAAAUAAGUCUAAAAAACUAAAAGAACAGAAAAUAAUAUAAAUCCAAAGUGGGGCCAAGGCAACAUGUGAAGGGUGUAAGAUCCAUACAUAUAUAAAACUUAAUAGCAGAAAGUUACCUAAAUAAGAGUCAGAACUGAGAGGCGGAGAAGGGACCCUACUGAUCUAACAAUAUGGUCUACAAAUUUGGUGGCAUUUAUUGAUAAGUGAAUGCCAAAGUCAGUCCCCAAGAUAAAAAUUGACUGUUGAAGAAGAGUUUAGGGGUUAUGGUGAGCCUGAGAACUGAUAUUGAUAGUGAUGGUAGUGAGUUGCAAUUAACCUCUGGUGCAUGUUAGCAUGAGUAAGCAUACUGUAUAAACUGUCAACCUCGUUAGCAAAAUUUAUAGGGUUGUGGGCCGAUGUUUCUUAAAUUCUACAGUCUCUUUGUGUUUUAGGAAGUGGUCCUAACAAAAGAAAAUGAUUUAUCAGUGUGUUCUUCCUUCUCUUUCUCUUUCUCCUCAAAUGCCUUUGUUGUUUCUUUUAUUGUCAAUAAGGGUACUCACGUAAAGAUACCGUCUCUCCGUCUUCCUGAUUUUGCUACUCUUUGAGAUGUUGUGUUCGGUGAAAGGUUACUGUGAGGGUACUAGUUAAUUGUGUGUAAAAUAUUACUGGUCGGUAAAAGUUGUGGUUAUGGUAGAUGUUGGAAUAUAAUUUGUUGUGGAAAAUCAGGAGAAAAUCUUAAAACCCUACUUGUGAUUUUGGAGCGCUACAAGAUGUAACGUUAUGAAAACAAUUACACGCACCAGUAACACCUAAAUAGUAUUAUUUCUGAAAUAGCAUUGAAGCCUCAUUAAAUCAUAACAACUAAUUGAAGUAUUAAACUGCUACGUCCGAACACACCCUUACUAUAUAUGGCCGUCUCAUCAAGUUUGUAACACUUCGAUUUUGUAACCAUUCUACUUGCUUGAUCGGACCGAUUCUUUUUUUCCCUUGAUAAAGCAACUCAUCUCAAAUGUUGCAAAUUGAAGGAAACAAGGAAAGUACUAUCGUAGUGCAUCUGUCAUGCACACUUUUUAUAUACAUAUUCUUGCGUAAACAGAUACUCUCUUCCUGCUAUGCAUUUAACUGAGGUUGGCCCCAGGUUUUUCUGGUUGGACUUGGAUGGAUGAAUGAAUGGAUGAUGUAAUGUUAUAGCUUUGUCAUAUAAAGAUGUCUUCUAUUAAUUCUUGUGAACCAGACACUUUCUGUGUAAUGUACAUUUAGGGCACUGCUUUAUGUUUAAGUUUUAACCCCUUAUUUUCUGUCUGCUACUCUUUUUACAGUGCUUCUUCCUGUAUUAAAAGCUUUCAGCUAACAUCAUGGUAUUGUUUUCUUCUUUAUAAAAAUAGUCUUUUACUGCUGCUCUCAUAUUUACCUUGUCCCUUCUUUGUCCAGGAAAAGUGUUUUCUUCCUUUUUUUUUUUUUUUCCAAAGGAGUAUCCGUUGAGCGUUUCGAGGUUAGUUAUGAAGAUGAAACUGUCUGAUUAACUGUUUCAGAUUACGUAGUUAGACCUUAAUAUGUCGUUAUUAGUUAAAUCAUUGUGCUUUUCCAAGUCCUAGAAAUCUUUAAUAAAGCAAAACUUUAAUCAAUCGAUCCGAGAGGCGUAUGUUGAGAAGUUUCUUCAUACUCCGGAUUCAACUAAAAAUGUCUGAGCAUAUCGAUUCGGUGAACUGCUUUAUUUCUAGCUUGCUUUAAACUCUACUCCCUGCGUGCUAUGAUUGCGAAAAAAGGAGUCAUUGUAUAUGUAGUUACUAAACACUUCCUUUCUCCGGUGAAUUUGCUACCGAUAAUGGUACUGUCAAUAGCAAAUUUAUUAUGACGGAGGGAGUAGAGUUCUCAAGAAUCAAGAUUUAUGGUUUGUUUGAGAUAUAACUAUUGAUUGGAGCUGUUGGUUUGUUUGUCCAGUCAAAAGUUUCAAUUGAUUUGCUAGCUGUUAAGUCAGCUGUAUAAGUCAACUGUCUUGGAGAUAUUUGGUAAAAGUUGAUUGUCGGUUGUUAGAUGUUUAAAAGAGAAAAUGUGAAUCAAAAAGUCAAAAAUCAAUGAAAAAACUACUCAGAUUAAGACUAAUAGCCUUCGGUUUUGGCUUAGAAAUCAGUUCUCAAUCAAUUUAAAACCCAUGUACCAAAAACCAUAUUUGUAAUCUAACCAAUCGUAAAACGAACAGCCAACUCAAAACAAUAAAAAAAAUAUCAUUUUCUGAACACACUCGUAGGUAGUAAAGGAGGGUCCUAGUCUCCUAGAUACCAACCCAAAAAAGUAACUCUACUACUCAUUUAUCACUAGAACCUGAAGUGCAAAAAUUUCCCAUACAGUACAACAGGUUAAUUGCAUACUCUAACUCAGAAGAAAAACCAAAAGCAGAAAUUCCUUUAAGUUUAUGUAAAAACAAGGAAUCUUAAUGGAUGUUCUGCCAUACACAUAAACAUACACUCAAUUAAUGCUUUAUUCUUAUACUUCCUCUUUUCAUGCUUCAUUCUAAACUCCAAAAAAACCCAACUAUAUUUCCUCUACCUUUCCAUUUUUGGACUAACCUCUCACUCUGAAUACAAUCCUUUCAAGUAAGAACUUUCCUCUCUAGCUGCCUAGUUUAAAAUUUAUAUAUAUUAUAUUAAAUAAUAUUUUAUUUUUAUUUGUAUUUUUCCUUUAUUGUUUUGCAUGGUCCAUUAAUAUUACGAUUGUAUUAGAUGAGAAAGUCUUGUCUGAACUUGGUCUACACUAUUUUAGUAUGCACUAACCUUAAAAUGUACAAAAUAAUGUUUUUUUCAUUUGACAAGUACAAUUAUUAGGAAAUUUGCUAUUUUUAGAUUGGUGAAUAGUACUAAUUUUAUAUAAAAUCAUUGCGUGGAUAUAUUAUAAAAAGGAAAUUUCUUGUUUUGGUGAAAGGUGAAUAAAGGUAGAUGUUGUGGAGCAUACUCCUAACUCCUAAGUGAAUAGGUCCAAUUAUGAGUUUGUAGAGGAAUGUUUUUUCACAACCUAGUUUCAAACAAAAGCCACUGUCUACCUAACUGAUUCUGUUUUUGUGAUACAUGCCAACUACUUUCCAGCUAUCUCCAACUUCAUUUAGGCAAUCAAGCUAUAUAGCUUCCUACACUUUCUGUUAUACUUAUCUUGUUCUCUUUGAGUUUGCUACAAAACUGUUAGAUUAAGUUUAAUUCUUUUUUCCUUUUUUAAGGUCAGUUUAAAUUGGGUUGCAAGUUAAUAUUUUUGAAUCGUGAUCGAUUUUUUGAUGGAUUUUAGGUCAAGCUAACGUGGUAUGAUUGAUAAAGUGUGGCUGACCUGUAUAGGGUUGUGCCGCUAGUGAUGGCUAAGGAGUUGUUACUCAAACCCGAAAACUUGAAAUCAAAAUUGGAUAAACAAAAUCAAACCAAAAAUUUUAACUUAAAUCGAUUUUAUCUUUUAUCGAUAGUGAGCUUAUAAUACUUACAUUAUGUUUAGAUGAGAGGAAAUUGAGGAAACGGAGGGAAAUGUGGAAGGAGAAAGUCCUUCACGUUUUAAAUCAAUGUCUUUGGUAUAAUACGAUAUACAUUGGGUGACUUUAACAAAUGGAGAUAGGUAGAGAUAUUAUAAAAUUGAAAUUAUAAAAAUCACUCUCAGUACAUGCUUCAACCAUCAUGGGAUUAUAUUUUACAGUAGUGGGGACAAUUAACAAAAUGUAAUUCAUGAAAUUAAGUGUGGGUGGCAAAAAUAGAAUGCGUCGACAAGGAUAUCAUGCGAUCGAGGUGCAUCACUAAAGCUAAAGGCAAGUUUUAUCGGAUGACCAUUUAAACAUAGUUAAUCUAUGGAACUGAAUGUUGGUGUUUUAGAAAUGAUCACAAUAGGAAAAUACCAGUAGCGAAAAUGUACAUGCUAAAAUGGAUGAACGAACAUACCUUGAGAAUUGAAAUUUGAAGUGAAGAUAUAAGAAAGCGUUUAGGAGCCGUAAAUAAAAGUAAAUGUUUAAGUUGGUUUGAGCAUGUGUAAAGAUGAAAUAUUAGUCGCCCAUUAUGGAAAUUACAAAGUUGAACUUGUGGAACAUAAAAAAGUGUGAUGAAGAUCCAAAAUGACUUAAAGGGCACGAGUGAAAAAUGAUACGCCAAAUUUAUAUAAGUUGACAUAAUACAAAAUUGAAAUGCAUGGAAGAAAAUUUUCUAUAGCCUACUACUGAAAUUGAUCUAUUAAUUUAUGUAAUCAAUCUCAAUAUUUCAGGAUUAAGGCUUUUAAUUAUUAAUUCAUUUGAAUAAAAUUAAAUGUUGUCGGUUGCUUAACCAAUGUCACGAGGAUGUAAAUUAAAAUACAAUUUUAGUCGAUAAGGAAAUGGAAAAGCCGAGAAAUGGACUGGUGUGGCCACCCACAAAAAGUCGAACUUAUGUACUUGCAUAAUUGAAGUAGCCAAGAUAAUUUUUUCAAACAAAGCUUCACAUUCAUUAAAAAACCCAUUUUCAUUUAAAUUGAGUAAACAUUUUUUAAAAACAAUUAAAACUUAGAUUUAUUUCCAUCAAAUGAGAAUAGGUUGGAUUAUUAAUAUUAGAUUUUUCUUAAAAAUAAAGUCAAAAUAUUAGAGAGCCGUAGCUUAAUCAUUCCAUCCAGGGUCAACUUUGAGAUUUAAGAGGCACAGAGUAAAACAAUAAAUAUAGGCUCUAAAUAUUAACUAUUAUAGCAAGUCUUGUAUGAGACAUUCACACCGUGCGACGAACCAAUAUGAUCAAUUAAUUUCUCUAAUUGAUAACUUAUUUUAAGGUAAUGAAUGAACACGUUAAGGUUAUAAGUGAUCACUUUAAGAUAAUAGUGUACAUCAGAUCAACCUAAUACAGAUGGUCGCACUAUGAGACCAUCUGAUUUACAAAUUUGUGUAACUAUUAAAGUUUCGUUCUUUCUUAUAUUUUUAGAUUGGCUCAGGCCACAAGCCCCUCUUACCCCCUCAAACGGUCGAAUCUGACUCUAACACCUAAUCGUUGAAGUACAUCAAAGAUUAGGCUUAUCAAGUUGGCUUGUUUUAGACAAUUUCUCCUCUUAUUUCUCCUCUUAGUUAUAUUAAGUUGUAUAUAAAAUUUCAACCAAUUUAAAAUUAAAAAUAACUUAUCACAAAUAUAAAAUAAAAUUGUGUACAUCUAAUUUUGCGAUAAUGGUUGGAAUACUUGAGUGACAUUAAAUUGGGAAAUGGGAAUGGGAUCCUGCAUCCAAUUGGACAUAUUUUCCCAGUUCUAUAUGACUCUAUAUCUUGUGAAUAUAAGGCCCUAGUGAUAGAUCAUGUUAAACACUUUAAUGCAUUGGUCCAAGUACACAUUUUAGUGUAGUUCAUAAUAAAUUUCCUGUUCCAUUCUGCGUUUUGUAAGACCUCAUUCAAUGAGGAGGUUGUACAUCAUCAAACUUAUUCUAAGUUCCGCUUUAAAAUCGGAUCUUUUUUAUGUUUAUAUUGGUUUUUACAUUAUCGUAGAUGCAAUUUUAGAAUCUGGUCAAAUUGAGUUUGGUUUUAUGAUCGUGUAAAUGUCGGGGCAUUGAGCCUGUUUUGAACACCUCUAAAUGCAAAUCAUGCAGUUUCUAAUUAGUCCCUUUGUUCCAAUAAAUUGUCCCAUUUUUCAUUUUAGUUUGCCCUACUCUUAUCGAAUUUGCCCAAUUUUUAUUUUUGGCAAUAACCGACAUUAUAAUUUUAAUUUCACCAACACAUUUAUCAUACCUUUUGAUCUUAUCCAUAUACUUUCCUCAGUUUCCCGAAAUAUAUCUUUUUACCUCUUUUACUUACUUUUCUUAGUUUUCAUUAUAUUUGUAAAUAAACUAUUUUCAGAUGUAAAAAUAAUGAGUCUAGUAAUUAAAAAUUUUCCAUUUCAUCUUUACAAAAGAGAUUCAAUUCCCAAUAACUAUAAAAAUUAAAAUUAAUUCCCUCCCGCUAUUUCCCGUAACAGUUUCUAGCUAGGCUACCCCGAAACAAAAAUAGAUUAAUUAUUUUGUUGUUGACAAGACUAUAAAAAGUUUACACUACAAUUAUGUUUGCUGCAAAAUCAACUAGUAGCUACUCACUCUAUUACUAUUAGUUUUCUAAACUUUUGAUGUUGAGUCACACUAUUAUUUUUCCACAUUUUUAUUAUCAGCACUACCUCUACAUUUAUUUUAUAUAAAGUAUACUCCCCCUAUUCACCUUAGGAGUCCCAUUUGACUUUUCACGGAUUUUAAGGAGAGUUAAAAGUGGGACCUUAAGGGUAAAAAAGAGAGUGGUAUUAUGAGUUUUUUAAUAUAAGGAAGGAAAAUUAGUAUGGGUAAUGGAGGGUAUAAUUGAAAAUAGGAUAAAGUUACUAAGGGCAUAAAAGCCAAAAACCCAUACCAAAAAUAGAAAUGGGACAAUUAAGGUGACUUAACCAUAAAAGAAAAUGGGACACAUAAGCUGAAUAGGAGGGAGUAUAAUAUAUUUUGACUAUUACCAUAAAUUAAAGCUUUAAAAUUAAGUUGAUUUAUUAAAAUGGUAUUAGAGUUAACGUUAUGAAAAGUUACUAUUUCAAAUCUCAUUAAUUCUAAUUUUAAGUUUAGCUUUUCCAUCACAGUUUUGGCUCAACAAGAUUCCGUGUGAGGAUAUAUUAUAUAACAAAGUAUAUAACAUUAUUUUGAGGCUACAAUUAUAAAUUUAAACUUUUAAUUAACUUAAUUUCUCUAUAAUUUUGUAAUAUGGUAGAAUCAUAAGCUUAAGCUAUAUGUUUGUUGGUUUCUUUAAUUGCAAAAAAAUAUCCAAAAUAAAUUUGUAGUACAAUAAUGGAUGUAUACAUGUUUGUAAAUAGGUACAUAUUCCCCUCUCCCAAACAAUUAACUUUAUUAUUUUUUUUUGUUUUAUUAAAUGAGAUAUUUUUUAUUUUACGAUGUGACUCACGCUACUUUUAAAUUUUUAUUCACAUUUAACUUUCUUUUCCAUAGAAGUAUUUUUUUCUAUAAAAUAUAUAGAUUUUAUCACUUUAGUAAGCUUUUUUAUAUUUAUUUUAAAUCAAACUUGAGACUAUUUCUAUAAAACUGAUACAAUAAUAUAUGUGGGCCAGGCUCUCUUUUGUCUAUCCAUGUUUUAGGUUCAUUCACCCUUACAAGAAACAAAGAUGUUGGGGGGCAGUGUCAAUUUUUAUAGUGAAGGUCCCCCAAACUGAAUCUACUUCUAGAUUUUCAUCAUCUCAUUUUUCCUAUAUUGUCCUUUUCCGUAAAUUUACCACAUAUUAUUUCAUAGGUUUAGAAUAUAUUAAAACCAAUCAAGUGUUAUUAAAGAAU